rfam:TPA: Bos taurus chromosome 16, whole genome shotgun sequence.
UCCCUCAUAUCUCAGUUGGUAAAGAAUCUGCCUGUGAUGCAGGAGACUCAGGUUCAAUCCCUGGGUCGGGGAG